rnacentral:lncRNA from 1 species
UUUCAUUAUUUCACUCUACCAUGGCCAUGGGCUUAAGGACUCAAUCUUUCGAUCAUCAUAGGACUACUCCUCUCAUCUAUCGAGAUUGAUAAAUCCCAUCUUGGUGCGACCUAGUUCCUACAAUGAAUAUGCUACAGCCAACAUACAUCUCAAAAUUUUGAAUGGCUAGGAGAUCAAGUUAUGGUGUAGUCAAACUAUAACACACUCA